rnacentral:rRNA from 1 species
CAACAAGGCCUUUACUGACGCUAAAGCUCGAAGGUGCGGGUAUCGAACAGGAUUAGAUACCCUGGUAGUCCGCACGGUAAACGAUGGAUGCCCGCUGUUCGCGAUAUACGGUGAGCGGCCAAGAGAAAUCGUUAAGCAUCCCACCUGGGGAGUACGCCGGCAACGGUGAAACUCAAAGGAAUUGACGGGGGCCCGCACAAGCGGAGGAACAUGUGGUUUAAUUCGAUGAUACGCGAGGAACCUUACCCGGGCUUGAACUGCAGGAGAAGGAUACAGAGAUGUUGACGCCCUUCGGGGCUCCUGUGGAGGUGCUGCAUGGUUGUCGUCAGCUCGUGCCGUGAGGUGUCGGCUUAAGUGCCAUAACGAGCGCAACCCUUUUCGUCAGUUGCCAUCAGGUGAUGCUGGGCACUCUGGCGACACUGCCACCGUAAGGUGUGAGGAAGGUGGGGAUGACGUCAAAUCAGCACGGCCCUUACGUCCGGGGCUACACACGUGUUACAAUGGGGCAUACAGAAGGCCGGUCGCCCGCAAGAGCGAUCCAAUCUAAAAAGUGUCCCUCAGUUCGGAUUGGGGUCUGCAACCCGACCCCAUGAAGCUGGAU